UGGGGAAUAUUGCACAAUGGGGGAAACCCUGAUGCAGCAACGCCGCGUGAGUGAUGACGGCCUUCGGGUUGUAAAGCUCUGUCUUCAGGGACGAUAAUGACGGUACCUGAGGAGGAAGCCACGGCUAACUACGUGCCAGCAGCCGCGGUAAUACGUAGGUGGCAAGCGUUGUCCGGAUUUACUGGGCGUAAAGGGAGCGUAGGCGGACUUUUAAGUGAGAUGUGAAAUACCCGGGCUCAACCUGGGUGCUGCAUUUCAAACUGGAAGUCUAGAGUGCAGGAGAGGAGAGUGGAAUUCCCAGUGUAGCGGUGAAAUGCGUAGAGAUUAGGAAGAACACCAGUGGCUAAGGCGACUCUCUGGACUGUAACUGACGCUGAGGCUCGAAAGCGUGGGGAGCAAACA
rnacentral:rRNA from 1 species